rnacentral:rRNA from 1 species
GCAUGCGAGUCGAGAGGGUUCGGCCCUCGGCAGACGGCUCAGUAACACGUGGAUAAUCUGCCCUUAGGUGGAGGAUAACCUCGGGAAACUGAGAAUAAUACUCCAUAGAUCUAGGAUGCUGGAAUGCACUUAGAUUGAAAGUUCCGGCGCCUAAGGAUGAGUCUGCGGACUAUCAGGUAGUAGUCAGGGUAAAGGCCUGACUAGCCUACGACGGAUACGGGUUGUGAGAGCAAUAACCCGGAGACGAUAUCUGAGACACGAUAUCGGGCCCUACGGGGCGCAGCAGGCGCGAAACCUUCACAAUGUGCGAAAGCACGAUGAGGGGAUCCCAAGUGCUUGCUCGUAAGAGUAAGCUGUUUUUAUGUCUAAAAAGCAUAGAGAGUAAGGGCUGGGUAAGACGGGUGCCAGCCGCCGCGGUAAUACCUGCAGCUCAAGUAGUGACCGCUAUUAUUGGGCCUAAAACGUUCGUAGCCGGUUUGGUAAAUGCCUGGGUAAAUCGUGUAGCUUAACUAUACGAAUUCCGGGUAGACUGCCAAACUUGAAACCGGGAGAAGCUAGAGGUACUCCUGGGGUAGAGGUGAAAUUCUGUAAUCCUGGGGGGACCACCAGUGGCGAAGGCGUCUAGCUAGAACGGGUUUGACGGUGAGGAACGAAGCCCUGGGGCGCAAACCGGAUUAGAUACCCGGGUAGUCCAGGGUGUAAACGCUGCUUGCUUGAUGUUAGUUGGGCUCCGAGCCCAAUUAGUGUCGGAGAGAAGUUGUUAAGCAAGCUGCCUGGGAAGUACGAUCGCAAGAUUGAAACUUAA